UACGUAGGGGGGCAAGCGUUGUCCGGAUUUACUGGGCGUAAAGAGCGUGUAGGCGGCCAAAACAGGUCCGUUGUGAAAACUGGAGGCUUAACCUCCAGACGUCGACGGAAACCGUGUGGCUAGAGUCCGGAAGAGGAGAGUGGAAUUCCUGGUGUAGCGGUGAAAUGCGCAGAUAUCAGGAAGAACACCAAUGGCGAAGGCAGCUCUCUGGGACGGUACUGACGCUGAGACGCGAAAAGCGUGGGGGAGCGAACAGG
rnacentral:rRNA from 1 species